CUUAUGCUUGGUAAUGGUCUCUCCUAUGAAGUGCAGGGCAUUACUUUAAAUGCAAUCACUUAUGGCUAUGUCUCCAGUCUGUCUAGUGCUCCAAGAUCUCUGUCUAAUAAUGUUGCUCAUCUUUUUCAGUGCUGACUGCCACAAACUGCACCAAGAUCAACUUUGCGGGUCUACUUGCCCUGCUGUGCAGAAAGGGCAAAGGCACACAUAUAGAUACAGUACAACCAUAAACAGUGCUUGGAAAGGUCCUUCAUCAGGAGGCAGCCAGUUAGCUUUGGACUGUGUUGUUGAUAUUGAUGUCAGACCAGGAUGUCCA